AACAGGUUAUUCGCGGUGCAGUGUGAUAGUGGAAUAUACUGCAUCACGUGUAACCUCCCUA
rnacentral:pre_miRNA from 1 species